AUAUUCCAACACCUUUUGUUACUGCGAUGGGGGGACGGAGAAGGCUAGGCCAGCGCGGCGUUGGUUGUCCGCGUUCGAGCGAGUAGGGAGAUCUCUUAGGUAAAUCCGGGGGGUCAAUUCCGAGACGCGAUAACGAGCUGUCAAGGCUUCGGUCUGACGGUGAAGUGGUUGAUGCCAUGCUUCCAGGAAAAGCCUCUAAGCUUCAGGUAACAAGGGACCGUACCCCAAACCGACACAGGUGGUCAGGUAGAGAAUACCAAGGCGCUUGAGAGAACUCGGGUGAAGGAACUAGGCAAAAUGGUACCGUAACUUCGGGAGAAGGUACGCCGCUUGGGGUGAUCGGACUUGCUCCGUGAGCUCCGGGCGGUCGAAGUGACCAGGUGGCUGCGACUGUUUAUUAAAAACACAGCACUCUGCAAACACGAAAGUGGACGUAUAGGGUGUGACGCCUGCCCGGUGCCGGAAGGUUAAUUGAUGGGGUCAGCCGCAAGGCGAAGCUCUUGAUCGAAGCCCCGGUAAACGGCGGCCGUAACUAUAACGGUCCUAAGGUAGCGAAAUUCCUUGUCGGGUAAGUUCCGACCUGCACGAAUGGCGUAACGAUGGCCACACUGUCUCCACCCGAGACUCAGUGAAAUUGAACUCGCUGUGAAGAUGCAGUGUACCCGCGGCUAGACGGAAAGACCCCGUGAACCUUUACUACAGCUUUGCACUGGACUCUGAAUCUGUUUGUGUAGGAUAGGUGGGAGGCUAUGAAGCCGGAACGCUAGUUCUGGCGGAGCCAACCUUGAAAUACCACCCUGACAUAUUUGGGGUUCUAACCCAGGCCCGUUAUCCGGGUCGGGGACAGUGUAUGGUGGGUAGUUUGACUGGGGCGGUCUCCUCCCAAAGAGUAACGGAGGAGCACGAAGGUACCCUCAGCGUGGUCGGAAAUCACGCUUUUGAGUGCAAAGGCAUAAGGGUGCUUGACUGCGAGAGCGACGGCUCGAGCAGGUGCGAAAGCAGGUCUUAGUGAUCCGGUGGUUCUGAAUGGAAGGGCCAUCGCUCAACGGAUAAAAGGUACUCCGGGGAUAACAGGCUGAUACCGCCCAAGAGUUCAUAUCGACGGCGGUGUUUGGCACCUCGAUGUCGGCUCAUCACAUCCUGGGGCUGAAGCCGGUCCCAAGGGUAUGGCUGUUCGCCAUUUAAAGUGGUACGCGAGCUGGGUUUAGAACGUCGUGAGACAGUUCGGUCCCUAUCUGCCGUGGGCGUUGGAGAUUUGAGGAAAGCUGCUCCUAGUACGAGAGGACCGGAGUGGACGAACCUCUGGUGUUCGGGUUGUCACGCCAGUGGCAUUGCCCGGUAGCUACGUUCGGACGGGAUAACCGCUGAAAGCAUCUAAGCGGGAAGCCUCUUCCAAGAUGAGAUCUCCCCGGGGACUCGAUCCCCCUGAAGGGUUGUUCAAGACCAGGACGUUGAUAGGUGGGGUGUGUAAGCGCUGUGAGGCGU
rnacentral:rRNA from 1 species